AUCUGGGCGUCAGGUGCUGGGUCAUGUGGUGCUUGUAGCUCUAACCCUUUGAGAAACUGCCACACUGGAUUCCACAGCGGCUGCACCAUUUUACAUUCCCAGCAGCAGCAUAUUGUCCACCUCCUCCCUAACAUUUGCUGCUGCUGCUGCUGUUGUUGUUGUUGAUAAUAGCCUAUUAGUAGAUGUGAGGUGAAGUGAUGUCUCAUCAUGAUUCUCAUUUGCAUUUCUUUUUUUGGUCUUUUUGCCUUUUCUAGGGCCACUCCCGCGGCAUAUGGAGGUUCCCAGGCUAGGGGUCGAAUUGGAGCUACACCAAUUGUGUAGGUGCCGGCGUACACUGCAGCCACAGCAACACGGGAUCCAAGCUGAGUCUGCGACCUACACCAAAGCUCACAGCAGUGCCAGAUCCUGGACCCACUAUGCGGGGCUAGAGAUCAAACCUGCAUCCUCGUGGAUAGUAGUCGGAUUCAUUUCCGGUGAGCCACAAUGGGAACUCCUAGUAGUGAGAUUUUUAAAUACCACAGAUGGUUGGUGCAAGGAUGGGAGGGGGCCACAGAAUCACGGAGGGGCUUCGAGGAGAUAAAUGGGUGACUCUGGCGGGAGCUUACCACAUCCCCAAUGCUCCAGCCUGUAAUGCCAGGGAGCUCAGAGUUGCCCUCCUCCGGCCCUCCCUCCUCUCCUCCCUCCUUCCUUACCCCCGAUCUCCCUGCCAAGAUUUAGCAACAGGUCAGACCCACAGUAGUGAACAAAGGAGGAAACAGAAAGUCUUCCACAAAGUUGUAGAAACAGCCCCCCAAAGCCUUGGAGGCUCGGGCUUGCGCUCGUGCUGAUUCGGCACCAUUGAAGAUUCAAUCUGGAGACAGAGACUGCACGGGGACUUUGACAAGGCAAGUUGAAUAGAAGGAGGUUCUAAGCACAGUGGGGAACUGAGGGAUACAGAUUUGGGAGCAGCCAUGCCCCGAGAAGCAACAGAGCAGGAGGAGGGCCCCUUCCCCAGAUCUGGGUUGGCUGGCCAGGGUGCCGUGGAUGGCACUGACGUUUUCAGUGAGGAGCAUGCAGGUGGGACUUCGGUGGUGCCAAGGAAGGCUGCCUGUGCCAGAUCGCCUCCAUGGGUGUCCCUGGAAAUGGGCCAGUGGGGGUGGGGUGCUGGGAACCUGCCCUGGCAUGGGGGGUGGAGAGGCAGGAGAAGCUGCCCACUGGAGGCAUGUCCCAGAGAAGAGAGAGGACGCCGCCAGUGUCCCUCCAGCGCCCUCUACUGGAGAUGCCUAAUGUGGCGACCCGUGGGGGGAACCCAUCCUCCAUCAGGAGCAGAGCAGUGCUGGGCGAGUUUGGUGCUGAAAGGUCGCCCAUCCAAGGCUGAUGGAGAUGAGAGUAAGUGCAGCGGGCACAUGAGCCAAGUGGGAAGGUGGAGGAAGGUUAGGUGUGCCCUUUUAUAGCCAAGGUUCAAGGAAGGUGACGUUUGCACAGAGACCUGAGGAGGUGACAGGUUGAUGGCAGAGCCUUCCACUUGGUGGCAACAGCAGGUGCAAAGGCCCUGAGGUCUGGGCUGGUAAGAUGUGUUUGAAUAGCAGCAAGUGUGGCAGCUAUUACCCAGUCGAGUCGGGGAGGGGGGCCCUGGGCAUUAGCGUUUGGCCCCAGGACACAUGCUCAGAGAGAUGGGACUCUCCUUGCACAGCGCCGAGCACAGACGUGCCAUGAACUUGCUACAUCUCAGAAGGACCACUGGCUGCUGUGCUGAGAGUGGAUGGUGAGGGGUGGGGGUGGCGAGGGCUGAAGGGGAGACCCCAGAACCAGGUGAUGAUGGCUUGGGAGACAGGUAGCCACGGCAGUGGUGUGAAGGGGUCAGAGGCUGGCUGUGGUUUGAGUAGCUUUUUUACUGGAUUUGGAGUGAAUUAGAGACAAAGGACUGUAGGAGAUUUGGCCUUGAGUGACUGAGGACACCCCAUCUCUUGGGGUGAGAACUUGGAGAAUAGUGGGCACCAUGCGCGGACAUUGUGAAUGAAUUUCAUGCGCACUUUGAAACGGUUAAAAUGCCCGGUUUUAUUGUAAACAUUGCCACAACUACAAAUCCUCCACGAGUUCCCUUUGUGGCUCCUUGGGAUAAGAACCUGACUAGUAUCCAUGAGGAUGUGGAUUCGAUCCCUGGCCUCGCUCAGUGGGUUAAGCUGAGGGCUGCAGUGUAGGUCAAAGAUGUGGCUCGGGUCCCGCAUUGCUAUGGUUGUGGUGUAGACCAGCAGCUACAGCUCCGAUGCAACCUUUAGCCUGGGAACUUAACGUAUGCCCAAGGUUGUGGCCGUUA
ensembl:lncRNA